rnacentral:rRNA from 1 species
GUGAACGCUGGCGGUAGGCCUAACACCUGCAAGUCGAACGGCAGCACAGUAAGAGCUUGCUCUUACGGGUGGCGAGUGGCGGACGGGUGAGGAAUACAUCGGAAUCUACUUUUUCGUGGGGGAUAACGUAGGGAAACUUACGCUAAUACCGCAUACGACCUACGGGUGAAAGCAGGGGAUCUUCGGACCUUGCGCGAUUGAAUGAGCCGAUGUCGGAUUAGCUCGUUGGCGGGGUAAAGGCCCACCAAGGCGACGAUCCGUAGCUGGUCUGAGAGGAUGAUCAGCCACACGGGAACUGAGACACGGUCCAGACUCCUACGGGAGGCAGCAGUGGGGAAUAUUGGACAAUGGGCGCAAGCCUGAUCCAGCCAUACCGCGUGGGUGAAGAAGGCCUUCGGGUUGUAAAGCCCUUUUGUUGGGAAAGAAAAGCAGCAGGUUAAUACCCCGCUGUUCUGACGGUACCCAAAGAAUAAGCACCGGCUAACUUCGUG